rnacentral:lncRNA from 12 species
GCCUGACGAAACGCAGCGCAGAAAAUUAGCCCGUAAAACAGCUAUAAAAUCUGAGUCACGGCAUCAUAAAAAUGCCAACUGACCAAGAACAAUAGAUAUUGCAAGCAGCCAGGAACAGGGCCGGUUCCCAUACGCACAGGCCUGGAAAUACCCUUCCCUCUCAGAACCUCCUUGCCAUGCUGUUAAUGGAGCCAGCUCUGAAAUAAACACCAGCGUAUGGAAAAGGAUGGAUCCACCCUGGAAGGUGGAGUGAGAUAAAACCUUCGAGGUUCACGAGGUUCUAAGAGGCAUCUAACCACACACACAAACACAGACACAAACUCGCCCCCAGACGGAUGGCCAUGGAAGGUAAGGAGCCUACACUCAGUCCAGGGAAGGUGCUCUUGUC